rnacentral:rRNA from 1 species
AGGGGGGACGGAGAAGGCUAUGUUGGCCGGGCGACGGUUGUCCCGGUUUAAGCGUGUAGGCUGGUUUUCCAGGCAAAUCCGGAAAACCAAGGCUGAGGCGUGAUGACGAGGCACUACGGUGCUGAAGCGACAAAUGCCCUGCUUCCAGGAAAAGCCUCUAAGCAUCAGGUAACAUCAAAUCGUACCCCAAACCGACACAGGUGGUCAGGUAGAGAAUACCAAGGCGCUUGAGAGAAC